UUGGCGGUUUUCUUGUUUAUUAUUGCAAUAUGUAGAUCAUACUGCAAUUUUGCAUUUGUUUUCUUUUUGCAAAUCACUUGCUGUUCAUUUUGUAGGAGAAGGUGAAGGUGUGUACCUCCCUAUGAAAAUAAAACAUAUUAUGAGUUUAUGACAGUAUUUGUUCUGAAAUAUUUUUGUAAAUAAUAGAGAGUUGUAUCUUAGUAUUCGUAGUUCUUGUUGUUGCGGUUGUUUGAAUGAUGUCGCUUAAAUUUUUUGCUUGAGUAUCAUUAUAGUAUCACCAUGUAAAUUUUUGAAUAUGUUUAGAGAUUAGGAUUAAUAUUUUUUGAGUCAAAACUUUGGUUAUCUGUAUUUCAAAUGCAUUUCCAGCUUUUGUGAAAUAUUAGAUGUAAAUUCGUUGUUAGGCUUCAAAUGGAAGAAAAUUAUAAUUCUAUGUCAUCAUUAAAAAAAAGGCAUCUGGCAUCUUUUCAUUUAAGUAUCUAGAUUCCAUUACUCUUAAUUUCAGUCCUUAGAAGCAAAGGUUGUUAAAUUACAUCAGCACCCUUUUUGCUGACUAAUGUUUCCAAUACCACUCUUCCAAAGUCAACAAUUUGGAGGAUGGAUUAGAGAUGAGAUAGUGAGGGUGCCUUGUCAUUGACAAAAUAAUAGAUGAACUGGUAAACAGCAUAUUUAUGCUUAAUCUGUUGAUGCAAAAUGGAUACUUCAUGCAGCAUCUAUUUUUUAGAAUGGAGGGGCUCUUUAGUGAAAUACCUAUAUCAACUAAAAUGUGCUUUAGCAAGCAUUAUUAAUGAUCAUAUACAAGGUUUGACAUCUCAAGUCCCAUAUUGGUAAGGUAAUGGUACGGUACUAUGUGGUUUUACAUCUCAAUACUAGGUCCACAAUCUCAAUACCGGAUAUCAUGCCGGUGCAUUACUGGUAAGUAUGGUACGAUAAGCACCCCAUAUCAAGGCAGCUCCGAACCUUCUCACUUUUGAUCACAUUAUUGCCCAAAAUCGAGCGAGACAAGUUAGUACAGUAUGAUACACACCCUGGUUUCAGGUGAUACUAGCCGAUAUAGGGCAGUUCCACUUGGUUCCGAUUGGUAUGGACUUGUUAGACUCAUGUAUUGAAUCAAACCUCAAUAUAGUAUUGGUACCUUACCAUGGUUGGUACAGUUGAGUAUGCAUCGAUACAAUAGACAUUGAUAAGGUCAGUAUGAAAUAAGGUCGGAGGAACUGGUACCGGGCACCGUACCGGUUCUCCAGCGGGACGACUCAGUACAAGCCGUGCCGGGCCUAUACCGAGAGAGGGAUCGUGCAGAGAGAAAAAGAGAAAGAGAGAAUGAGCGGAGGAGGGAGGGUCGGAGGAGGGUGGUGGACGCCGGUGGAGUGCCGGUGGAAGCCGGCCGCGGCCGGUGGGAGCGAGGCCACGUCCGCUGCCCUUGUUUCGAACAAAAUACGGUCUGGCCGCGGCCUUAAAAAAUUUUGUAUUUUUUAAGUAAAGUUGGCAAAUCUCUUCACUUGAAAAUUGCAAAUUUUUCUAAGGCCGCGGCUGGACCCUAUUUCGUUCAAAACAGGGUCAGCAACUGCGGCUUGGCUCCUCGCGGCCGAGACCAGCCUCCACCGGUCUCCCGCCCUUUUUCUCUUCCUCCCUCUCCUGCUAGCUCUCUCUUUUCUUCUCCUUCUCCAGCUCCGAUAACGGGUUCCAUUUUCGUUGCCAAAAUCAUACCGGUGAGACACCGGUACAGCUUGGGACGGCCGGAACCGGCUAGUUCGAGACGGUUCUGCCGACCCUGGCAUGAACACGUGGUAGAGGUGCUCAGUUGGCACAACACCCAUAUUCGGGUCAAUGCAGGCCCCAUACCAAGGCAUUCCAAGGUUCGAGGGCUAUUUCCAUACGAGAUGCAUACCAUACCAUGCCCGUAUCGCACGGAAUUGGUAAAGUAUCAGUACAGUACCCGAUACCACUUCAUGGAUCACUAGGUUUUCAUGAUUAGAUCAUAGUAUAAUAUAAUUUCAUGCUAUUAAAACUGACCAUUUUGGCACCUACUUGAUGAUUAAGUUAGAGAGAGCACCAAAAUACAUAAAUGUUGGUUUCUACUUACUUUUUAUUAGUUGAUCAUGUUCAACAGUUUUGGAUUUUGAAUUUGAAUAGUCUUUCAUUGAUUUUGAGCCAUUAGCUCCUUUGCAAAGAGUUUAACAUAAAGUGUAGUCUGACAAUUUGCUCAGUAAUUCAAGAACAACAGAGAUGUUGAAUUGAGAAAUUCUGAAAAAUGCUGUCAUCCCUAUGUGGCUAUGAGCACCUUAACUAUUUGCUUGUUAAAUAAUUGGUUGUGUCACAGCUCCCCACCCAUGCCACCUC